rnacentral:rRNA from 1 species
GUGGGGAAUUUUGCGACAUGGGCGAAAGCCUGAUCCAGCAAUGCCCGCGUGANUGAAGAAGCCCUUCGGUUUGUAAAGCUCUUUUGUCAGGGAAGAAACGGUGAGANCUAAUAUCUCUUGCUAAUGACGGUACCUGAAGAAUAAGCACCCGGCUAACUACGUGCCACAGCCCGCGGUAAUACGUAGGGUGCCAAGCGUUAAUCGGAAUUACUGGGCGUAAAGCGUGCGCAGGCGUUUUGUAAGUCUGAUGUGAAAUCCCCGGGCUCAACCUGGGAAUUGCAUUGGAGACUGCAAGGCUAGAAUCUGUCAGAGGGGGGUAGAAUUCCACGUGUAGCAGUGAAAUGCGUAGAUAUGUGGAGGAACACCGAUGGCGAAGCAGCCCCCCUGGGCUCAAGAUUGACGCUCAUGCACGAAAGCGUGGGGACCAAACCAGGAUUAGAUACCUGGUAGUCCACGCCCUAAACGAUGUCUACUAGUUGUCGGGUCUUAAUGACUUUGUAACGCAGCUAACGCAUGAAGUAGCCGCCUGGG